rnacentral:rRNA from 1 species
UACGGAGGGUGCAAGCGUUAUCCGGAUUCACUGGGUUUAAAGGGUGCGUAGGUGGGUUGAUAAGUCAGUGGUGAAAUCCCCGAGCUUAACUUGGGAACUGCCAUUGAUACUGCUUAGCUUGAAUCAAGUAGAGGUGGAUGGAAUAAUACAUGUAGCGGUGAAAUGCUUAGAUAUGUAUUAGUAACACCGAUUGCGAAGGCAGUUCACUAUG